rnacentral:rRNA from 1 species
UGGGGAAUUUUGGACAAUGGGCGAAAGCCUGAUCCAGCAAUGCCGCGUGUGUGAAGAAGGCUUUCGGGUUGUAAAGCACUUUUGUCCGGAAAGAAAUCCUUGGCUCUAAUACAGUCGGGGGAUGACGGUACCGGAAGAAUAAGCACCGGCUAACUACGUGCCAGCAGCCGCGGUAAUACGUAGGGUGCAAGCGUUAAUCGGAAUUACUGGGCGUAAAGCGUGCGCAGGCGGUUUGCUAAGACCGAUGUGAAAUCCCCGGGCUCAACCUGGGAACUGCAUUGGUGACUGGCAGGCUAGAGUAUGGCAGAGGGGGGUAGAAUUCCACGUGUAGCAGUGAAAUGCGUAGAGAUGUGGAGGAAUACCGAUGGCGAAGGCAGCCCCCUGGGCCAAUACUGACGCUCAUGCACGAAAGCGUGGGGGAGCAAACAGGAUUAGAUACCCUGGUAGUCCACGCCCUAAACGAUGUCAACUAGUUGUUGGGGAUUCAUUUCCUUAGUAACGUAGCUAACGCGUGAAGUUGACCGCCUGGGGAGUACGGUCGCAAGAUUAAAACUCAAAGGAAUUGACGGGGUCAUAGCUGUUUCCU